UUGACCCAUUUGACCUCAAUCAGGCAGGACUACCCGCUGAACUUAA
rnacentral:rRNA from 1 species